ACCAAACAUAUCUUAAACUUCUCGCUCCCACCGGCCGGCUGAUGGAAAUAGACUGACUACCGGAGAUAUUCGUGUUACUUCGUCUGCACUGGUUUGUACACGAAUGCGUGAGUUAUACCGAAUACUCAGUAAAUUAUAGACCACUUCAAAUCUUUGUUUUCGAGAGGGAUAUUGCACUGGUUUGCACACGAAUGCGUGAGUUAUACCGAAUACUCAGUACAUUGUAGAUCACUUCAAAUCUUUGUUUUUGAGAGGGACAAUCAACUCCGCAAAUAUCGAUCGAAACUUGAAUCCUUAUAUAGGUAUGCAAUUUUUGAAAUAGGUAGUCCGUAUUGGUAUCAAAUCUAUUCCCAUGUUCCGAUCUUUCUAUUUUUGACCCAUUUCUUGGGUAAAGUCUCCCAACUAUAUUUGAAAAUGAAUUGGUUAUCCAUAAAGAGAAAGAAAGUUUUCUUCUAGUUCCGCUUCUUGCUCUU
rnacentral:lncRNA from 1 species